AUUGAACGCUGGCGGCAGGCUUAACACAUGCAAGUCGAACGAGUGGCGGACGGGUGAGUAAUGUUUGGGAAUCUAGCUGAUGGAGGGGGAUAACUACGGGAAACUGUAGCUAAUACCGCGUACCAUAGGAUGAGCCCAAGUGGGAUUAGGUAGUUGGUGGGGUAAAGGCUCACCAAGGCGACGAUCUCUAGCUGGUCUGAGAGGAUGACCAGCCACACUGGGACUGAGACACGGCCCAGACUCCUACGGGAGGCAUCAGUGGGGAAUAUUGCACAAGGGGCGAAAGCCUGAUGCAGCCAUGCCGCGUGUAUGAAGAAGGCCUUCGGGUUGUAAAGUACUGUCAGCGGGGAGGCGUUACCCGCAGAAGAAGCACCGGCUAACUCCGUGCCAGCAGCCGCGGUAAUUC
rnacentral:rRNA from 1 species